GGCCGGCCCCGCCUCUCGGCGCCCGGGGCUGACUCGGCGGAGUGUGGAGGCCGGAGCGGGAGGGGUGCCGGCGCUUCCCGCUCCCCAGUGUUUAAAAAUUCAGUCAUAAAAUAUGGAAAAACAGAAGCAAACUUGAGGUCAUUUUCAAUGUUGUCCACCCGAAGGUCUGCUGUAUUUGAGAUGUGAAGAGGAGAUCCUUGACAAUCGGAAGGAGCAUGAGAGAUGACCAUGCAGUGUGUAGGGAAUUCUCAGGUCCCCUCUCAGAUUUUCUGCUUCUAACUCCUUUGAGUUGAAGACUCCUUGCUACAUUAGUACCCAUGUUCUUAAGAGAGGCUUCACCCAUUUUGUUCUUCAUCGUAGGUUUGACUAUUUCCAGCCCUUUUCUGGACAGGUUCUCAUUUUGAAUGAAAGCUAGGGCCUGUGAAAUAAAACGAAAAAAGGAAAAUGCCAUAUUCUGAAUAGAAAGUAGGAGGCCAGAAGGCUUCUGGGUCUUUUUUUUUAUACAGUAUUCCACCUUAAUACAUUUCACUUUUCUUGAUUUCAGUUCUUCAUGGUCAACCAUGGUCCAAAACUAAUAAAGUUCCAAAAUAAAGAA